UACGUAGGGGGCUAGCGUUGUCCGGAAUCAUUGGGCGUAAAGCGCGUGUAGGCGGUUCGGUAAGUCCGCUGUGAAAGUCGGGGGCUCAACCCUCGAAUGCCGGUGGAUACUGUCGGGCUCGAGUGCGGAAGAGGCGAGUGGAAUUCCUGGUGUAGCGGUGAAAUGCGCAGAUAUCAGGAGGAACACCGAUUGCGAAGGCAGCUCGCUGGGACGUUACUGACGCUGAGACGCGAAAGCGUGGGGAGCAAACAGG
rnacentral:rRNA from 1 species